UGGGUGGAUAAGAAGAAAUGAAUGUUUAUUCCAGCUAAGUAGGAAGAAAUACAUCUUCAACUUCCAAGAAAUGAAUGAAGAAAUGCUACUCCUUUAUUGCAUACGACCACAAUAAAUUGAAUUGAGUCAAUGGAAGCUAAGCUUAAAGAAAUAAAAUAUCAUGGAAAGAAAACUAAAAAGUGCAAGAGAAAAAGAAAGAAGAAAAAGAAAGAACACAAUAAAGAAAUAUAUAUAUAAAAGACCUUCAACUAUCCAACCUUCAUUGCAAAUAUAAAGGCUCCCCCUUGCCUGCCUUCUGCUUCUGGCCUUCUUCUUCUGCCUUCUUAUCCUGUCCUCCUCAUCCUCGCAUCCAUCAUAAGAGCAGACUUCCUGGAAACUGUUGACCGAGAUGCUUCAAUAUAUACAUGAAAUCAUAGUAUCAUAGGCCUGCAAGGGAAUUUG